AAAUAAUCUAUUUAUUUACUUUGUCUUAUGAUAUGUAUUUAUACUUACGUAGGCUUAUGACUCGUUUCAAGAAAUAAGAAAGUUGGGAGCUGCUAUUUUACCACUUGAAACUAAACUUAAAAUGUUGAACUUCAUGAAGAAAUUUCAAAGGAAGAAUAUUGGACUUAGUUGUGGCGAUUGUUUUGUAUUUUCAAAACAAACUCCUGUACAGACAUAUAAAGCUUUGUAUAGCGUAUUUAACAUGCUACUACAAAUUCGAGAUGUUUACUUUAAAGAACGUCGAUCCUGCAAAGUUGAAACUCCUCUUUUACUUCUACAUUCUAACAAUACUACUGUUAGCACUUGAAAUUCUAAAAAAAUUACUUCAGUAAAUUUGUACUAGCGAGUUUAAUUACUUAAAGUUGUGAGUUCCCUUUUUGGUUAAGUAUUGUCUAGUGAUUACUCUUAAUUAAAUGUUAUAAAACAACAAUGGAAAUCUGUCAUUAUUAACUAUUAUUAUUACAAAGGUAGAAGCAUAAGUUUGUAGUAGUUGUAUUGUGCUACUAGAACUACUACAACUGUAUUCGUUUAAAUGGUAAAACAUGAGAGUAGUACACCUAUUUUAUUCACCACAGUGUAAUCAUUUUGAAUUCAAUACUUCUAGAAAUAUCGAGUAAUAGUUUAAUAUGGAAUGAAGCUUUUACACUGAUCACAUGAUCGAAUUGUUUGUUUAUUCAUUUUUUAAAAUUACUAUUUGUAAAUUCUUUGUAUAAAUAUUAUGAAGCCGGAAAAAUAAAUUUAAUUGUU
rnacentral:misc_RNA from 1 species